GGCCUGGCAUUGGGGUCAAUCAACACCCGCCCUGUUAUUAUACACCUUGUGGGCACAGGUGGCUCCGGCCCCACCCAGGGCCCUGCAUCUCCUCUCAUGCCCCGCGUCCCCAGGCUUUCCGGCAGCUGUCGCACCGCUUCCAUGGCAAGGGCUCAGGCAAGAUGAAGACAGAGCGGCGGAUGAAGAAGCUGGACGAGGAGGCGCUCCUGAAGAAGAUGAGCUCCAGCGACACGCCCCUGGGCACCGUGGCCCUGCUCCAGGAGAAGCAGAAGGCUCAGAAGACCCCCUACAUCGUGCUCAGCGGCAGCGGCAAGAGCAUGAACGCGAACACCAUCACCAAGUGACAGCGCCCUCCCGCCCCGGCCCUGCCUCAACCUUCAUAUUAAAUAAAGCUCCCUCCUUA
rnacentral:sRNA from 1 species